rnacentral:tRNA from 1 species
CGCGGNGUGGAGCAGUUGGCAGCUCGUCGGGCUCAUAACCCGAAGGUCGUAGGUUCAAGUCCUGCCUCCGCAACCA